rnacentral:rRNA from 1 species
UACGUAGGGCGCAAGCGUUGUCCGGAAUCACUGGGCGUAAAGGGUGCGUAGGCGGGUCUUUAAGUCAGGGGUGAAAUCCUGGAGCUCAACUCCAGAACUGCCUUUGAUACUGAAGAUCUUGAGUCCGGGAGAGGUGAGUGGAACUGCGAGUGUAGAGGUGAAAUUCGUAGAUAUUCGGAAGAACACCAGUGGCGAAGGCGGCUCACUGGACUGGUAUUGACGCUGAGGUGCGAAAGCGUGGGGAGCAAACAGG